UCGGUGGGAGUAACAUUCGA
rnacentral:miRNA from 1 species